UACGAAGGGGGGCUAGCGUUGCUCGGAAUCACUGGGCGUAAAGCGCACGUAGGCGGCUUUUUAAGUCAGAGGUGAAAUCCUGGAGCUCAACUCCAGAACUGCCUUUGAUACUGGAGAGCUUGAGUCCGGGAGAGGUGAGUGGAACUGCGAGUGUAGAGGUGAAAUUCGUAGAUAUUCGCAAGAACACCAGUGGCGAAGGCGGACUC
rnacentral:rRNA from 1 species